CGGGGGGAUGACGGUACCGGAAGAAUAAGCACCGGCUAACUACGUGCCAGCAGCCGCGGUAAUACGUAGGGUGCAAGCGUUAAUCGGAAUUACUGGGCGUAAAGCGUGCGCAGGCGGUUCGCUAAGACAGAUGUGAAAUCCCCGGGCUUAACCUGGGAACUGCAUUUGUGACUGGCGGGCUAGAGUAUGGCAGAGGGGGGUAGAAUUCCACGUGUAGCAGUGAAAUGCGUAGAGAUGUGGAGGAAUACCGAUGGCGAAGGCAGCCCCCUGGGCCAAUACUGACGCUCAUGCACGAAAGCGUGGGGAGCAAACAGGAUUAGAUACCCUGGUAGUCCACGCCCUAAACGAUGUCAACUAGUUGUCGGGUCUUCAUUGACUUGGUAACGUAGCUAACGCGUGAAGUUGACCGCCUGGGGAGUACGGUCGCAAGAUUAAAACUCAAAGGAAUUGACGGGGACCCGCACAAGCGGUGGAUGAUGUGGAUUAAUUCGAUGCAACGCGAAAAACCUUACCUACCCUUGACAUGUAUGGA
rnacentral:rRNA from 1 species